UUGAAGACUGAAGCCUACUUAUUUUCCCAAGAAGUUGUGAGUGAGGUUGCUGUGCUCACGCCCUCCUUGCAAAGCACACCCUUGGAGAAAGCAACAAAUAGACGGAAAAAAAACCCAAAGUCUUUCAGCGUGACGAACCAUGUGCUACAUAUCUGUGUGCUUGACCCAGUGCAAAAAUACGCACAGCUAGACUGUGUUUUGGCCUCAGCAUGGCUGGCUGCCUGGUCUGGGCUAUUUCAGUCUGAGAGCCUUCUGCAAGGCUGAGAACAGAAGUGGAGGAUGAAGAGGUAACUGACUGCCUGGACAACUACUGCGAUUGGAGGCUGUGCUAGAGCUGUUCAGAAGGUGUUUGACCUUUGGGUAUUUGAGGCUAUCCUACUUGCUUUCCAUCUGCUGCUCUGGAAUGGAUCCUGCUAUGUCUGCUAGCCUCAUGUGAAUGUCCUGGGUACUCUGCGGGCCCAGUACCUAUCAAGGACUGGGAACCAGCAUUACUCCAGCUGUUCAGAGAAGACAACUUUCAAAACAUAGUUCAUUGAGAGGAUCUGCAUGUGUUGUUCAUCAUAUUACCAGGACAGUAUUUGGAAAUGUGAGUAUGUGAAUAUAAACUGCAAUCAUUACCUAUGCAGAACAUGUCACUGUUUCUGUUGCUGCUGGCAGAGCAGAAAACUUGCUGCCACAUAAUGCUUUGACCUUCGUUCCUACUAAAGAGGGUUCCGCUGCUGUCCUUUGUUGAUCUGCUCAUUCCAAUAUCAGUCCAGAGAAAAACAAGAUUGGCAUCUGGAGAGCAGAACUGCUCUGGCCUUGGGCCCAGAAGCAGAGAGCAUGGUAAGGGAGGUACAUAAGGAAGCAUAUUCCAACAGAAUUUCAUAUAUAUUUUGGGAGGAAAAAGAACACUUCAUUUUAUAAAAAUGAGUAUUAUGCAAGCUUGCAUACAAAUAAAACUGGCCAAACCCUUGACUGUCCU
rnacentral:lncRNA from 1 species